UGAAAUGCAACAGUGAAGACAUCCAUCUUGUUGAUUCGUCGCUCGUUAACCCAGGUCUGCCCUUUUGAUUCUGAAUGCUGUGAUUGCUGUUGACGAAGUGUCACUGCCUCUCUCGUUGCAGUGACUCUCCAGGCCACCUGGAGGAGAAGGUGUCUCAGCUGGAGUCCAUGCUGAAGAGGCUGCAGGAUGACCUGCAAAAGGAGAAGGAGGACAAGGCGGUGCUGCAGGCCGAGGUGCAGAGCCUCCGGCAGAACAACCAGCGGCUGCAGGAGGAGUCUCAGAGCACGGUGGCUCGCCUCAUCAAAGUCACCGAGCUGCUGUGCAACGUCAACAAGCCCUGUUAGCCUCACACCGAGACACACACAUCAGCGUAGAGAUGCAAACCGUACCGGCUUGUACUGUACGCUCAGUAUACUUAUUUUGCUCGUAAGGCAGACACACACGCAUCCUCUUCGAUCUGUGUACUCUCACAGUCUUGAAUCCUGGACCUGCAUUUUGGGGAGGGAGUAUGCAAAAUCAACCCAUAAAAAAGAAAGAAAAUACAUUUUUUCAACAUUCAUAGACUGACCAGCUCUGGGGGCUGCUGCUAUGCCAGAGUGCUUCUCUCAGUGUGUGCCAUACAGCACGUGCGUGGAUGUGUGUGUGCGUGUGCGUCUGUUUGUGUGCAUCUCUUCCUGUACCUUGCUUCAAAUACUUGACGAGCUGGGCUAAAUAGCACUUGCAUAAAAAGUGGCAAUUAAGACUGAGAGACACUGUAUAGCAUGUUUGGUGGUGUCUUAUCUGAAAUGACCAAAAGUGUAUAUAUAUAUCACCGAUAAUAUAUGUGAACGGUAGUAAUUGCUCUCCUCUCUGCCAAGCGUGUAGUCGCAAUGUCUGAGUGUGGCUCUGCCCCGGCGCUGAUAGUGUGGAAGGCCUUGAGAAAAAAAAAAAAGGGAACGUGUCAAUGACAGGCCUGUCGGCAGCAUUCUACUUCAAAAGAUGGAAUGAUGCUAACUGACUAGCCUCACAGCAAGGCCUGUUAUGUAAGGACAUCACUCUCUGCCCAUUCACGUCUCAGUUUUUAGGGAGAGACUAUCUUUAAAAAGCUCGUACAUGAAAAGGAAGUAAACUGGAAACAAAAAGAACCGAGCAUGCUUGUUCCUCCUGGAAGUAUGUAUGAAAACAGUAUUAAAGGGAUACUGAAAAGGGUCAAACCUCUCGUGAAGACGCAGACAAUGGCAGGAAAAGAACUGCUUCAGCUUCCUCCCAUGAUUGCCUGUAGCUGUUUUCUUCUAACCUCACUAUUGUAGCAGCCAUACUGUAGAAGACCUCCUCCUGCUGGCCUGAAACACAAACGCCAAAAGGCAGCUUUUUUUUUUUUCUCCAGCUGGCAAAAUAGCUUUAGGUGUCAGAAUAAAGCACCUGGAGAUAAUACAGAAUAUUGUUUGGCGGAAGUCUACAUUGACUAUUUCGGGUAAUUGUUUAGUAUGGGUGAUGAGGUAGGUGAAGUCUUACCAUUCCACCCCGAUGUGUGAGUAACUGUGUUUCUGUGUCGUUCUUGCCCUUUUUUGUUGUUGUUAAAUCAUCACUGGACGGGGCACAUACUGUACUUCAUUUAUGUCAACAUAAGGAGGUGGAUAUGACCUCGCCCCUUACCUCACCUUUUUGUGUCCACUGCUGAUGGCGCUGAUACUGAAAUGCGUGUUCAGAGGAGUCGGAGCUCUUCUCCUCCAGUGCCAAUGAAAAAAGCCCAGGCAGCUCUCCUGAAUCCCACCGAAAUAAAACCGAACUGUCCACAAACUAAACCCCGACAAAAAGGGAUGCCAAACGUUCACUCAGACUCUCUUGUUUCUUGUACAAAACUUCCUCUUGUAAUUUAAUUUUAGAGUCACUGUGAAUACCUGGUACCAGCAUAGUAACAGUAUAUACAGAUUAAAUUAUGAAUCUAAACGUUAUCAGUAUGUGACGAUACUGUAUGUACAGCUGUUCCAUGUUAACUAGUGCAUUGGGGUUGUGUAUGCCCUCCUUUUUGCAGGACGAUUAAGCAGAGAAGUUCUAAUGCAGGCGUCCUGCUUCCUCUCCUGUACAUGCUGAAGCCUCGCGACUCAACGGGGAGACGGGGGGGUGGGGAAGACCUGUUUUACUGUGUCCUGUACAGUAUAGUUAUUUAGAUUGUAGGAGGUUGGUCCAGCAUGAGAAUGUGCCAAGCAACUUCCAGGCUCCCCUCUGUAUGUGUGUAUGUAUAAAAUGUAACUUAUUAAUCAUGCAAAUGUGGAUUUUCUUGUAGCUGUUUAAACUGGAGGGAAGGCUUAAGGAAAACAAAAUGUGAAACAGGGCAGAAAGGAAAGGUUGGUUAUACAUUUCUUUUGUAAGAAACCAUCAACCAUAUGACAAAAUCUGCUGAUCUUGCUAAAUGUGACUUUGGGUCUUAUUAUUAUUAUAGUUUUUAGCUAUUUCAGCCAUAGCUCUGAUUAUGUGAAGGCUUAUUUCUUUGACUUUGUGCCUAUCAGAAAAUGUAAUGUAUGCUAACCCAGCUUAGUGACCUCAUUUCUUUGUCUUUGGUUUCACUAACUGAGGGUUUUUUGUGGCAGAUGAAGGAUUUUCUAAGAGACUGUGACAACAUCUGGUCUUUCAUCCGCCGUGCAAGGAAAAAGUCAUUAAGUUACACUCGAAAGAACAGAUAAUAAUAAUGAUAAUAAUAGAUGUGUGUUGUUGGUCUGAAGAAUUACCAUAAGCUCGUUGAGUACCGAUUGUUCAAGAAGCAAACCGACAAAUAUAUGGUUUUUAAAAGCAAAU